GAUGAACGCUAGCGGCAGGCCUAAUACAUGCAAGUCGAACGGUAAGGCCCUUUCGGGGGUACACGAGUGGCGGACGGGUGCGUAACGCGUAUGCAACAUGCCUUCCAGCGGGGGAUAUACCAGGGAAACUUGGCGCAAUACCCCAUAGAAUUACGGGACCGCAUGGUCUUGUGAUUAAAACUACCGGUGCUGGGAGGAUUGGCAUGCGUGACAUUAGCUAGUUGGCGGGGUAACGGGCCCACCCAAGGACGACGAUGUCUAGCUGGUCUGAGAGGAUGAUCAGCCACACUGGGACGUGAGACACGGCCCACGACUCCUACGGGA
rnacentral:rRNA from 1 species